CGUCAACUAGCUCAGUCGGGUAGAGCGCAGGCUCGAUAAGCCUGGGGUCCUUGGUUCAAAUCCUAAGGUCGACGACCA
rnacentral:tRNA from 1 species